rnacentral:rRNA from 1 species
UACGUAGGGUGCAAGCGUUGUCCGGAAUUAUUGGGCGUAAAGGGCUCGUAGGCGGUCCGUCACGUCGGCUGUGAAAACCCGGGGCUCAACCCCGGGCCUGCAGUCGAUACGGGCGGACUAGAGUUCGGCAGGGGAGACUGGAAUUCCUGGUGUAGCGGUGAAAUGCGCAGAUAUCAGGAGGAACACCGGUGGCGAAGGCGGGUCUCUGGGCCGAUACUGACGCUGAGACACGAAGGCCAGGGGAGCAAACGGG